rnacentral:rRNA from 1 species
CAGAGUCCGAGUUGUAAUUUGCAGAGGGCGCUUUGGCAUUGGCAGCGGUCCAAGUUCUUUGGAACAGGACGUCACAGAGGGUGAGAAUCCCGUACGUGGUCGCUAGCCUUUGCUGUGUAAAGCCCCUUCGACGAGUCGAGUUGUUUGGGAAUGCAGCUCUAAAUGGGAGGUAAAUUUCUUCUAAAGCUAAAUACUGGCCAGAGACCGAUAGCGCACAAGUAGAGUGAUCGAAAGAUGAAAAGCACUUUGGAAAGAGAGUCAAAUAGCACGUGAAAUUGUUGAAAGGGAAGCGCUUGCAGCCAGACUUGCCUGUAGUUGCUUAUCUGGACUUUUGUCCAGUGCACUCUUCUGCGGGCAGGCCAGCAUCAGUUUGGGCGGUUGGAUAAAGGUCUCUGUCAUGUACCUCUCUUCGGGGAGGCCUUAUAGGGGAGACGACAUGCAACCAGCCUGGACUGAGGUCCGCGCAUUUGCUAGGAUGCUGGCGUAAUGGCUGUAAGCGGCCCGUCUUGAAACACGGACCAAGGAGUCUAACAUCUAUGCGAGUGUUUGGGUGUCAAGCCCAGACGCGUAAUGAAAGUGAACGGAGGUGGGAACCUUUUAGGUGCACCAUCGACCGAUCCUGAUGUCUUCGGAAGGAUUUGAGUAAGAGCAUGGCUGUUGGGACCCGAAAGAUGGUGAACUAUGCUUGAAUAGGGUGAAGCCAGAGGAAACUCUGGUGGAGGCUCGCAGCGGUUCUGACGUGCAAAUCGAUCGUCAAAUUUGGGCAUAGGGGCGAAAGACUAAUCGAA